GACGAACGCUGGCGGCGCGCUUAACACAUGCAAGUCGAGCGGUAAGGCCCUUUCGGGGGUACACGAGCGGCGAACGGGUGAGUAACACGUGGGUGACCUGCCCUCAGCUCUGGGAUAAGCCUGGGAAACCGGGUCUAAUACUGGAUAUGACUCCAUGACGCACGUUGUGGGGUGGAAAGCCUUGUGCGGCUGAGGAUGGGCCCGCGGCCUAUCAGCUUGUUGGUGGGGUGANGGCCUACCAAGGCGACGACGGGUAGCCGGCCUGAGAGGGCGACCGGCCACACUGGGACUGAGACACGGCCCAGACUCCUACGGGAGGCAGCAGUGGGGAAUCUUGCGCAAUGGGCGAAAGCCUGACGCAGCGACGCCGCGUGAGGGAUGACGGCCUCGG
rnacentral:rRNA from 1 species